rnacentral:lncRNA from 10 species
UUUUCUCAGGGAAUUUCUCUUCUAUCUCCAGACCCUGAAAGAAAUAAAAGGCAUGCUAAUCACCACACACACACACGCGCGCGCCCCGCCACCCCCACCCCCAAGACGAUGGAAGUGGCCAGUGCUGCCAAGCACCCCCACCAGUCACGUGGCCUCUGCGCUCCAGCGAGUCAUUUAUAAUUAAAGUGAUGUAUCUUCUACAACCCAGGACUGUCUUUCU